AAUGAGCGGACAGCGAGGGCCGGAGCGGGGCUGAGGCUAGGGUGCAGAGCUGGCGAGCCACGGUUGGGGCCAGAGUGGGGAGCGCAGCGUGGAGGUGCCACCUAGUGCGGGUGGCGGAGAGAUCAGAACCUUCUUCCCCAAGCGGAGCCAACCUCAGCGAGGACCGGGGCUCAGGGACGCUGCGGCGACGACUGCAACGGCUGGACGAUGGCAGCGCCCGUCGGAGCCUGGGCGGUGAUUGCAGCCCCAGACAGGAGGCGCUGGCCGUGGUCGGUGCUGACUGCGGCUCUCGGGCUCCUGAUAGCUGGAGUAUCAGGCUUGGAAGUAUAUACACCAAAAGAACUCUUCGUGGCAAAUGGUACACAAGGGAAACUGACCUGCAAGUUCAAGUCUACUGAUACGACUGGCAGGUUGACCUCAGUCUCCUGGAGCUUCCAGCCAGAGGGGGCUGACACUGCCGUGUCGUUUUUCCACUACUCCCAAGGGAACGCGUACCCUGGGAAUUAUCCACCAUUUAAAGACAGAACCAACUGGGCUGGAGACCUUGACAAGAAAGAUGCCUCAAUCUACAUAGAGAAUAUGCAGUUUAUACACAAUGGCACCUAUAUCUGUGAUGUCAAAAACCCUCCUGACAUCGUUGCCCAGCCUGGACACAUUAGGCUCUAUGUCAUAGAAAAAGGUACUUCCGUGGGUAUUUUGGCAGUAAUAAUGGAGUCUCCUUUAUCUCAUGUUCGGUUGGAGGACAAGAGUGUCAUUUCAAGAGAGUUUGCCUGUGUUUCCAGUUUGGGUAGUGGUGGGCAUAGUUACUGCUGUGGUCGUAGGUCUCAUUCUGCUCAUCAGCAUGAUUCUGGCUGUCCUCUAUAGAAGGAAAAACUCUAAACGGGAUUACACUGGCUGCAGUACAUCAGAGAGUUUGUCACCAGUUAAGCAGGCUCCUCGGAAGUCCCCCUCCGACACUGAGGGUCUUGUAAAGAGUCUGCCUUCUGGAUCUCACCAGGGCCCAGUCAUAUAUGCGCAGUUAGACCACUCCGGCGGACAUCACAGUGACAAGAUUAACAAGUCAGAGUCUGUGGUGUAUGCAGAUAUCCGGAAAAAUUAAGAGAAGACCUAGAACAUAUCCUCAGCAAGAAGCAAAACCAAACUGGACUCUGGUGCAGAAAAUGUAGCCCAUUACCACAUGUAGCCUUGGAGACCCAGGCAAGGACAAGUACAUGUGUACUCACAGAGGGAGAGAAAGAUGUGUACAAAGGAUAUGUAUAAAUAUUCUAUUUAAUCUUCCUGAUGUGAGGAGCCAUUGUUGCAUGAUGAAAAGAUGGUAUGAUUCUACAUAUGUACCUAUUGUCUUACUGUUUUUGUACUUUAUUUUCAGGUCAUUUACACUUGGGAGAUUUCAGAAACAUUCCUAUCACCAUCACUUAGAAAUGGUUUGCCUUAAUGGAGACAGUGGCAGAUCUGUAUGUAGUAUUUCCAAUAGACAUGGCCUUUUAAUGUAAAGGCUUAAUCAGUCUUAGCCUUUAUUGUAGUUGGAGGAUGGCGAUGCUGUGAUGGACGCAUAUCCUGGUUGGCCUUUAACACAGUGUCAGCACCAUUUAUUUGUUUGCAGCUUUUUAAAAAUACCUGUUGGCUAUGCCUCUUGAAAACAACUUGAGAAGUUUUCGUUGAUGUUUUUCUCACUAAAAUAUGGAGCAAGUGUUAGCCUUACAUGUUGUAUAGACUAAAUUGCACCCUUGAAAUGUGUUGGAUCAAUUUGUGGAUUCAUAAUAGCAAGAUUAGCAAAGGAUAAAUGCCAAAGGUUACUUUAUUCUGGAUACUUUAGAUCAACACUGAUUAAGUAGAAAAUCCAAACUUUGCUUGAGAACUACUGUAAUGUGGAGAGUAAAAGGUAUUGGUUUUAUU